rnacentral:lncRNA from 1 species
CUGAAGGAUGGGAGCGGCUGUGCCUGCUUCUGAGGUCACAGCUUGAAGUCCUUUUAACUUGCUUUCUGCUGCAGGAGAGAGGCAUAUUGUGGUAUAACUGUCGCUGCAUUUAUUCAAACGGACAAUUUGCAAUAAAUAUUAUACCCAGAACAACAGAACACUCCACCAUAUGAGUGCACUGCUGAGGGCAUGUGAUCAUCGACUCACAAAUGACGGGAUAACUGGUGACACCAUAGGACAAAUCACCAGCAGAAAACAAAUGUGUGAGCAAGACAUGAAAGAUGCUUUUAUGCUGGAACAGCAAGAAACCCAUUAAAUGAAAUAAAUUACAUGCUGCCAGGGUGAUGACUCACUGUCCUAUUGAAAAAGGCAAUAUUUUGGGGUGAAGGAAAAGAUAGCGCCGUAUGACACAGAGAGGCUCAAAAUAAUGAAAAACUUUUCUUUCUGACUCGAGUGUGCCUAUUCGGAUCGGAAGACAGAGACUUCCAACAACACUCAGUAAAGUGCAUAUUAAAAAAAUGUGUUAAAAUAUUGCUACUUAGAUUCCUGAAAUCACUUGCUCUGUGCGGACACAGCUAAUCUGCCUUUAGACCUGCUCUCCUCUUCCCCAGACUACCUGUAAAGUCAGUGAGAUAAAAAGACCAAAAUCUCACUUACGUAAUUCAUCAAAAUCAAAAAUCUAAAGAAUACUCUCACGGUAAUUAUUCUUCGUUUUUACCUCUUUUUACCAGAUUCUCUUUCUGUCUAGUCAAUGCUCCUUCUUUACACUCAAUACCAAAAGUGCAGCAGCAU